rnacentral:rRNA from 1 species
UGGGGAAUAUUGGACAAUGGGGGAAACCCUGAUCCAGCGACGCCGCGUGUGUGAAGAAGGCCUGCGGGUUGUAAAGCACUUUCGGCUGGGAAGAAAAGUUCGGCAUUAAUAACGUCGGACCUUGACGUUACCAGCAGAAGAAGCACCGGCCAACUCUGUGCCAGCAGCCGCGGUAAUACAGAGGGUGCAAGCGUUAAUCGGAAUCACUGGGCGUAAAGCGUGCGUAGGCGGCUUAGCAAGUCGGGCGUGAAAUCCCCGGGCUCAACCUGGGAAUGGCACUCGAUACUACUAAGCUAGAGUGUGGUAGAGGGAAGUGGAAUUCCCGGUGUAGCGGUGAAAUGCGUAGAUAUCGGGAGGAACAUCAGUGGCGAAGGCGACUUCCUGGACCAACACUGACGCUGAGGCACGAAAGCGUGGGGAGCAAACAGGAUUAGAUACCCCCGUAGUCC